GGCAACGUGCUUCCGUGUUGAAAUGAUUAGUCUGAGGCAGACUUAAACUGGCCCACAGAUCAAGAGGCUGCUGGAGACCAACUGGUCAUAACAACAUGAAAGUUAAAUGGUUGUCUCCAACAACAUCCCGUUUUUAUAGCCACAAUGUGGCAUGUGCCGUGGAUUUAAGGUAUUGGAUUAGAAAAAAAGAGUCAGUUACUGUUUGUGUAUCUGACCUCAUUGGAAUCAGUCAUUCAGAAGCAGGCUGUGAACAAGAGCUUUUGCAAUUUAGCAUUUACUGUUUUUCAGCUCCCUGGAGCUUGUGUCAGUCUGUGGAAUCUCCAGAGAGCCUUCAUUCAUGUCUGACAGCUUGCCAUGGGAGGAUUGUCAUGUGGAACAGAGUCAGCAUGUCUUUCUUCUACCCCACUCUGGCCUGGGGUUUGAAAAGAAGUCCAUGGCUACAAACACCACUCACCUCUGUUGAUUGUCUUUUGUAUCAGACAAGAUCGUCUAUCACACAAAAAUUUCUUAUCUUGGGAUGAUUGGGGGAACAAAUGUGAAGGAAACUGUCUGGAGAUUGCUCAGCAAGACCAUCAACAACACCCUGGCUCAACAAAUGAACUGGACUGGUGUAAAUGGAAAGAGAGCUUUGAAAAACAUUAAAGGAUGUCGUUUUUGCUAAGUGUUUUUAAUUUUUUUUUAGUAAGGUGCUGUUAGGAGGAACAGCCUGACGUCUAGAAUAACGGAUGAGGAAAUUGAGGCGAUCGUAAAAAGAUGGUUCCAGAGCCAGAGCAGGAAGACGGAGAACAAGUGAAAAUAAAACAAAAAAAUGUACUCUUAACAGCCAGGCCCGGACUGGCCAUCUGGACGAUCUGAAGUGGACUGGUCGAUGGAUUUUGGGCCGUUGUCAGUGAAUUAAAAAAUAAAAUAAAAAAUUAAAUGAUGGCUUUAGUAGUCGUCAACGAGAUGUGCACGAAAUACACGUCAGUCAUAUACAUCCCCCCACCUGAAGAGAUCCCGCAAACCCCUAACGCCGCCCCCCUCCCCCUCGUCAACGAGUAUGUGUGGGCUGCCGUCCACGAUCAAUGUAGCGCAUAGACAGCUGAAAUAAGCCAAAAAGUAUUUACUUGUGUAGCCUACUAUAUGUACUGUACUUUUUUCCUUUACACAACCCAAAUAUACAUAGACGCAAACAAAAGUUUUCUGCAUUAUUCUUAAAUUAACAUGCUUUUGGGAUAUUAAUUUGUUAAGCGUGUUCAUAAAAUUAUGUUUUCGCUUAUGAGUUGUAACGAGCUUGGAGUAUAUGUGUUUUCAUACUAACUUUUGUACUUGAUAAAAUUAAUUUAAAAA